rnacentral:rRNA from 1 species
UACAGAGGUCCCGAGCGUUGUUCGGAUUCACUGGGCGUAAAGGGUGCGUAGGUGGCCUGAAAAGUUUGAUGUGAAAGCUCAGGGCUUAACCCUGAAAUGGCAUUGAAUACUGUCGGGCUGGAGGUUUGGAGGGGGGACUGGAAUUCCUGGUGUAGCGGUGAAAUGCGCAGAUAUCAGGAGGAACACCGAUGGCGAAGGCAGGUCUCUGGGCAUUAACUGACGCUGAGACGCGAAAGCGUGGGGAGCGAACAGG